UACAGAGGGGGCAAGCGUUAUUCGGAAUUAUUGGGCGUAAAGGGCGCGUAGGCGGCCUGGCAAGUGGAAGGUGAAAUCCCUCGGCUUAACCGAGGAACUGCCUCCCAAACUGCUUGGCUUGAGACCGGGAGAGGUGAGUGGAAUUCCCGAGUGUAGCGGUGAAAUGCGUAGAUAUUGGGAGGAACACCAGUGGCGAAGGCGGCUCACUGGACCGGUACUGACGCUGAUGCGCGAAAGCGUGGGGAGCAAACGGGG
rnacentral:rRNA from 1 species